rnacentral:rRNA from 1 species
AUUACUAAGCGGAGGAAAAGAAACUAACAAGGAUUCCCUCAGUAACGGCGAGUGAAGAGGGAAGAGCCCAGCGCCGAAUCGCCUGUCGCUUAGUGUGUGGGCAGCGCGAACUGUGGCGUUUGCGACGUCGGCUGGUGUGUGCCCGGACGCUGGCGUGGGAGUCCUCCUGAUGGGGGCGGCUUGGUGCGUUGACCCAGAGAGGGUGUGAGGCCCGUGCGACGCCAGAGGAGGACGAGUCCGGGAAUGCGGUCGGCGUUUUGCUGGAGUCGGGUUGUUUGAGAAUGCAGCCCUAAGUGGGUGGUAAACUCCAUCUAAGGCUAAAUACGUUGGCGAGACCGAUAGCGAACAAGUACCGUGAGGGAAAGUUGAAAAGAACUUUG